GGGGCUGGGGCUCAGUAGUAGUGCACUUGCCUGGCAUGUGUGAGGCACUGGGUUCGAUUCUCAGCACCCCUC
rnacentral:tRNA from 1 species